rnacentral:rRNA from 1 species
CACGUAGGGGGCGAGCGUUGUCCGGAAUCAUUGGGCGUAAAGAGCUCGUAGGCGGCUCAGUAAGUCGGGUGUGAAACCCCCAGGCUCAACCUGGGGACGCCACCCGAUACUGCUGUGGCUAGAGUCCAGUAGGGGAGUGUGGAAUUCCCGGUGUAGCGGUGAAAUGCGCAGAUAUCGGGAGGAACACCAGCGGCGAAGGCGGCACUCUGGGCUGGUACUGACGCUGAGGAGCGAAAGCGUGGGUAGCAAACAGG